ensembl:lncRNA
ACAACUGUUCUGGAUUCAGUCCAUGAAUCCAAAGGAAGAUCUGAACUUCUCUCAUUACAAUUUAUGAGAAGACUGCUUGGGAUGGAGCAGAGGAGCUGGGAGAGAACAAGUGAAGCUGAGCCUGAGAGAGCAGUAAGGAAAGUUCUAUGCUCUGGGUCAUCUUGGAAUGCGUCAUUCUGGGAGUACCAGCACACACAGGAGGAGGACCAACAUUUUAGGAUUGCAGUAAAUCAUGUUGUUUUCUCCAGAAUCUGGAACAACAUGUUGAGACUGAAGAGUCAUGAGAAUUGCCCACAGCUUAUCCCAGUCUCAGGUUUGUUUAGGUUUUGAAUUAAAUCUCUGGAGGUCUACAGUGUUUACUUCACUGACAGGAAAAAAAUCAUAGAUGUCCAAAGUAUUUUUCAAAAACAACAAAAACACACAAAAGAACACGCUGUUAUGUCAAAAAAGGUAGAAAUACACUUGUAUGAAACAUAAGGUCUUUCUAGUUUACAUAUACUACAGAAUCAUCGAUAAAUAAAAUAGAUAAUAAUAUAAUUUCCAUAAUCCUCCUAGUUUCUUUGUGCUUAUAUAGAUAUUUUCUAAAAUUACUAAGCCACGUUAAAAGCUUGAGAGGUAUUGAUUGUACAGUAUAUAAAGAUCUCUUUCAAGAUCUCUUUGAAGAUCUCUUUAGACUGACCAUGUAAAUAACCUGAACCUGAAGAUGCACAAGUCCAUGAGACCCAACAACAUCUACCCAUGUGUUCUGAGGGAACUGGAAGAUGAAAUUACCAAGUUGCUAUCCAUCAUAUUUGAAAGAUCACAGCAGUCCGGUGAAGUUCCCACUGACUGGAAAAGCGGAAACAUAACCCCCAUUUUCAAUAAAGGAAAAAAAGAAGAUCCAGGGAGCUACAGGCCAGUCAGUCUUACCUCUGUGCGUGAAAAGAUCAUGGAGCAGAUUCUCCUGAAGGCCCUACUAAGACAUAUGGAAGAUGAGGUGAUUGGUGUUAACAAGCAUUGCUUCACCAAGGGCAAGUCACACCUGACAAAAUUGGUGACCUUUUAUGGUGGUGUUACAGC